rnacentral:rRNA from 3 species
UGUGACCCCAGGUCAGGUGGGGUUAGUCGUUGAGUUUAA